UACAGAGGUCUCAAGCGUUGUUCGGAUUCAUUGGGCGUAAAGGGUGCGUAGGUGGCGGGGUAAGUCUGGUGUGAAAUCUCGGGGCUCAACCCCGAAACUGCACUGGAUACUGCCUUGCUCGAGUACUGGAGAGGAGAUUGGAAUUUACGGUGUAGCAGUGAAAUGCGUAGAUAUCGUAAGGAAGACCAGUGGCGAAGGCGGCAUCCUGGACCGGUAUUGACACUGAGGCGCGAAAGCCAGGGGAGCAAACGGG
rnacentral:rRNA from 1 species